rnacentral:rRNA from 1 species
GACGAACGCUGGCGGCGUGCUUAACACAUGCAAGUCGAACGGAAAGGCCCUGCUUUUGUGGGGUGCUCGAGUGGCGAACGGGUGAGUAACACGUGAGUAACCUGCCCUUGACUUUGGGAUAACUUCAGGAAACUGGGUCUAAUACCGGAUACGACCAAUCUCCGCAUGGGGUGUUGGUGGAAAGCGUUAUGUAGUGGUUAUAGAUGGGCUCACGGCCUAUCAGCUUGUUGGUGAGGUAACGGCUCACCAAGGCGACGACGGGUAGCCGGCCUGAGAGGGUGACCGGCCACACUGGGACUGAGACACGGCCCAGACUCCUACGGGAGGCAGCAGUGGGGAAUAUUGCACAAUGGGCGCAAGCCUGAUGCAGCGACGCCGCGUGAGGGAUGACGGCCUUCGGGUUGUAAACCUCUGUUAGCAGGGAAGAAGAGAGAUUGACGGUACCUGCAGAGAAAGCGCCGGCUAACUACGUG